rnacentral:rRNA from 1 species
UGGGGAAUAUUGGACAAUGGGCGCAAGCCUGAUCCAGCCAUGCCGCGUGUGUGAAGAAGGCCUUCGGGUUGCAAAGCUCUUUUGUCCGGAAAGAAAAGCAUACGGUUAAUAACCGGAUGUCAUGACGGUACCGGAAGAAUAAGCACCGGCUAACUUCGUGCCAGCAGCCGCGGUAAUACGAAGGGUGCAAGCGUUACUCGGAAUUACUGGGCGUAAAGCGGGCGUAGGUGGUUCGUUAAGUCUGAUGUGAAAGCCCUGGGCUCAACCUGGGAAUGGCAUUGGAUACUGGCGGACUGGAGUGCGGUAGAGGAUGGCGGAAUUCCCGGUGUAGCAGUGAAAUGCGUAGAGAUCGGGAGGAACAUCUGUGGCGAAGGCGGCCAUCUGGACCAGCACUGACACUGAGGCACGAAAGCGUGGGGAGCAAA